GCUUUUGCACCUGUUUGCCCCUGAUGUCAUCGCGUCACACGUCACCACGACAGACGUUUCACGUCCAGUGUCCUCACGUCCAGCAGGUUUUUCUGAUGGGAGUUGACCGCCUUUUUGUUGUCGGAGGACUUAGCUGCUGCGGAAACUUGAGAAACGGCUGAUGACAUCCAUCUUCAGAGGGAAUGUGUCCUGAAAGCUCUCAUUGUCUUCUUGGGAGAAAAUGCAGUUGACCUUAUUCGUCAAAAUGUUGACAGCAGUGCCGAAGAUGUCCAGAGGGACGUGGAGCAUCUUACCAUAGCAGUGCUUGUUAAUCGGAAGGACUGCAAGAGCCUCCAGCAGACAUUGGCAUUGUCAUCGAGGGAGUGGAGGUGUUGCAUGACCUGACUUCAGUCGCCUCAGCUUGUGCUCUUCUUCUAGCAUUUUGACACUCUGAAGAAAAGACUGCGCCAAGACGUGUAAGAAUUUAUCUUUUUUGUAAGCCAAAUAAAAGUAAAAUGUGGA